CCCUUCGAUACUCCCGGCCGCACAUGUGCGACAAUGGUGGAGUCAACGAGUCUUGCGCCUGCGCUGCUGCGCGUCCUCCCAUACUUGUUUGGCGGGAACGCGGCCAGCGCAGAUCCUGCAUUUGUUCAGCUGAACCGAUGCGGGUAAUCUGGUGCAAUUCCACCGUGCUUGGGAUAGAACUUUGGAAUUCUGGUUCUUGAACAAGGAAUCCCUAGUAGGCAUUACGUCAUUAUCGUGUGCCGAUUACGUCCCUGCUCUUUGUACACACCGCCCGUCGCUACUACCGAUGAGGGGUCAAGUGAGAUGACCCAAUCCCCUAGUCCGUUAGGGCCUUGCGCUACUCUUGUGGUCAAGUCCCGCGGGCGUCUUGACGGGGACAGGUCUUCAAACUUGCGCCUCUUAGAGGAAGUAAAAGUCGUAACA
rnacentral:rRNA from 1 species